AUUGGUUGAGGGAGAUUGAUAGGCAAUGUCCAUGGUACCCAGAGCGGGGAUAUUCAAUCUUAAGGACUGGGAAAACAUCAGGCGCACUCUGCACAGAGAGCCUCGCGCGCCGGUGUUGCUGCUACUGACGUGGCGACAAUGUUAUGUCACCAUCAGCCUGCAGCUCUAUGGCUCCCUUUCUGUGGGC